AACAAACAUGAGACAGGGAUAAAACAACAGACAAAAGGAAAGGCCAUGGUUACUGAGAUUUUAGAAACCAAAUAUAAAUUCAAGAAAACAUAAUUCUUGAAAUGAAAUAAUAGAGAAUCAAAGGAAUCCAAAAACUGCAUCCGAACUUCCGGCUUCUUCGUCAGAUUAAAUCCCAGCCACAUAAAUAAAAAUAUAAGAAAUCUCGAGGAAACUACAGUUUAAACUAUCAUAAAAUGCAAAGUAAUGUAGCAUUUGUUAGAGGGUGGAAUUGUAAGACACUUUUAGUAUUUUAACAAUAAAUAACAUUGAAUCUGGCAAUGGUUGAUACAAAUAAAACCCAUUACUCCUAUAUCCAAUAAAAACUUCCUUGCAUUUUAGAAACUCCUAACAUUAAGAACAUUUACAUAUCUGAGUAUAUUAUAUAUACAUGUAUUUGUAUGGGCAGAAAGAGAUAGAGAAGAAAAAAUUACUUGGAGGUAGGAUGGCCCUUGCAGAGUUCUUUGCUGCAAGAAAGUGCCCUCUAGGUCCUUGAUAGUGAUUAAAAUAAUUCGACAACUAUAAAGAAAAUGAAAUACACUUAAAACAAUAAUUAAAUUUUGGAACAUACGCUUCUUUUCUAUACCUCCUGGACACAGGCCGUCACCCUAAUCAAUCUCGUUGUAAAUUAAAAUAUAAACUCUUGAAAAACUAAAGUAAUUCAGGAGCUUGUUCCUACUCAACAUGUGCACAUGGUGGCUUGCUCCUAUUUAACUUAUUAUAGGACAUUUAAAAAUGUAAAAUUUUAUUUAAAACAUUCAUCAAAAAUAGAGGGAAUAAAACAUGAUUUCCAACGAGACCCAUCUUCUGUUUUAGGGAUCAAAAAGCCAUAAUAUGCUUUUAAUACUCAUUUUCAUGCACCUCCCCUACAAAUGGAUCUUGAAGGUACUUUGAAGACUGGUGAUAUAAAAGGCUAUUUAAAUUUCCAAAUUACCCUUUAUAAGACCCCAACCCAAAGUUCUUUUUACUCAAAAGGUAUUGGGAAAUCAAAAGGUCAGAAAGGUAUAAACUUGGAAAGGUGGAAGGAAUAUUUAAAAAAUGGAUCUUGAACUUUGAUCUUAUCAAAGUUAAACCUUUCCUAUACAAUCUUAAUAGUAGGCAUCUUUUAAACAAUGAGAAAAAUUAAAUAUGGCGCUUUCGUGAUCACGCCUUUGAAACAAUGUGUUGCCUUCUUGGGACAUUUUCAUCUAACCCAGUUGGUUUCCCCAUUUUUAAUCAAAUAUUUAGCUCUAAAACCCCAAGAAAAAUAAAAACCAUAAAUUAGCUAUCUAUCCUUUAUACAAACCCAGCUGACAAAUCCAACACUACACAAACAUCAAUGCUCAAUAUUGACUAUAAUAAUAAUAAUAUCCAUGAAUCCUCAUCAGAUGCAAUUAACAAUUUUCAAUAAUUUAAAUAAUCUCUUAAUUCAAAUACCCACUGAACCCACCCAAGUAUUUUUUGUUUACCCAUCUUUUUUCUCAAUUAUUCGUUUGCCCCAUGAAAGUUGUAGUCCAAAAUUCCUAAAACCACCCAGUAUCCCAAAUCAAGCUUAUACAUUCUAUUUAAAAUCAAGCUGCUUCUGCUUAUACAUUCUACAUACCAAAAUCAAGCUUAUACACUUUCUUAUUUAAAAUAAAAUCAAAUGCAAAUCCCCGCUUAUCUGUAACUCUAUCAUACACAAUCUGACCAAAUUCAAGAAACCCAUACCAGUUUGUCACCAAAAUUUUACAAUCAUAAUUUCUAAAAAAGCAACUCAAAGUUCUUUUUACUCAUUAUAAUGCCCAUGACUCCAAUCUAUAACUCUACCAUACACAAUCUGACCAAAUUCAAGAAACCCAUAUCAGUUUGUCACCAAAAUUUUAUAAUCAUAAUUUCCAAAAAAGCAACCCAAAGUUCUUUUUACUCAUUAUAAUGCCCAUGACUCCUAUCUGUAACUCUAUCAUGCACAAUCUGACCAAAUUCAAGAAACCCAGAUCAGUUUGUCACCAAAAAAACAUGUCAAGAUACCCACUUAUGACCAAAUUCAUAAUUUCCAAAAAAACAAAUCACCAAAGCCAAGGAAUAUAGUAUAAAUAUCAAAAUAGACCUCUACGUCAUGGCAUAUGGCAAGUUACCCACAUAAAGCCUGUCAGCUUCAAUUUCAUCAUCGUCGUCAUAAUUUCACCUGGUUGGAUGAGUUCGACUCUGUCAAAUGCAACAAAAGCACAGAAGAGGGGAGAGGGAGAUAGGAGGGCAAAAUAGGGAAAUAGUUGGGCGGAACGGUGGUGCUUGCGAUGGAAAAUGGUCACUGGUAAAAAUGGAAGUUUUUACUAAGGGAUUUGUAGGUGGAGAAGAGUAUAAGGGAAGGAGAAGGCGGAAUGAGAAGGGGGCAGAGGUAUAAGGUGGGAUUUGGGUAGCGUGUAGGGGGGUUUGAUUUGGGUGGUUUUUUUGAGAUGAAAUCUAAACUGUUAUUAAAUUUUUAAGUGGGAAUAGAUUCAAAUGUUUAAUGGUUGAUUCACUUGAU
rnacentral:lncRNA from 1 species